rnacentral:rRNA from 1 species
CACGUAGGGGGCAAGCGUUGUCCGGAUUUAUUGGGCGUAAAGAGCUCGUAGGCGGUUUCGUAAGUCGGAUGUGAAAACUCCAGGCUCAACUUGGAGACGCCAUUCGAUACUGCGAUGACUUGAGUCCGGUAGGGGAGUGUGGAAUUCCUGGUGUAGCGGUGAAAUGCGCAGAUAUCAGGAGGAACACCGGCGGCGAAGGCGGCAUUCUGGGCCGGUACUGACGCUGAGGAGCGAAAGCGUGGGUAGCAAACAGG